UCCCUGGUGGUCAAGAGUGGUCAAGACUCUGAGCUUCCAAUGCAGGGGGUCCAGGUUCGAUCCCUGGUCAGGUAA
rnacentral:tRNA from 1 species